rnacentral:rRNA from 1 species
UUGGAGGGCAAGUCUGGUGCCAGCAGCCGCGGUAAUUCCAGCUCCAAUAGCGUAUACUAAAGUUGUUGCAGUUAAAAAGCUCGUAGUUGAAUUUCGGGGUCAGCAAGUUGGUCGUGCCACUGGUAUGCACUGGCUUUGCUGAUUCCUCCUUCUUGUAGAACCGUAAUGCCAUUAAGUUGGUGUUGCGGGGAAACAGGACUGUUACUUUGAAAAAAUUAGAGUGUUUAAAGCAGGCUAACGCUUGAAUACAUUAGCAUGGAAUAAUGAAAUAGGACGACGAUCCUAUUUUGUUGGUUUCUAGGGUUGACGUAAUGAUUAAUAGGGAUAGUUGGGGGCAUUAGUAUUCAAUUGUCAGAGGUGAAAUUCUUGGAUUUAUUGAAGACUAACUACUGCGAAAGCAUUUGCCAAGGAUGUUUUCAUUAAUCAAGAACGAAAGUUAGGGGAUCGAAGACGAUCAGAUACCGUCGUAGUCUUAACCAUAAACUAUGCCGACUAGGGAUCGGAUGAUGUUAAUUUUAUAAUGACUCAUUCGGCGCCUUACGGGAAAC